rnacentral:lncRNA from 1 species
CCAAGACUUUUCAAACUUUUUUUUAAAGAAACGAAACUCUUUUUUAAAAAGAAAUCUAUGUAGAACUCCAAUACAGAAUAAAAAUGAAGCUGCCACUGGUUAGAUCAAAGUCAGAGGGAAUGUCACCAGCCUCUAAUGCCUUAAGCCAGCCUAAGGUGUCUCUAUGCAAUCUGUGAACACCACCACUCAUCUUAGAAAUGUGAUGGAAAGCAUGGUCAUUCAGUUCUCAUGUUGUUAAACUGAGGAAAUUACCAGCACUGUGAAGGAGAAAUUCUAAAUAAUGUCGCUAAUUUAAAGAAAGACAAAACUCAAGACCUCUUAUCACUUAGAAGAAUGAAAACAGCCGCUAUAAAGUAAAAAAACAAUGAACAAGAAUUAGGCCACAGUAGACAAAACAGAACGCAAAAAUUAACAUCUCAUUAAAAAGCAAAUACGAUUAAACAUAUUCACAUACAUGUAAUCACUACCAUGAAGUCAACUGCUCGACAGAUAUAAACUGCUCAAUACGAUAGCUGCUUCCAAAGAGCUGAGUCCCAGUUUCACACUGUCGAGAAGAACCCACCAUGAUGGCAGAGCCGUGGUCCACUAUGGAAGUCUGUGGGCGGCACUGCUUCACUUCACAUAGCAAUGCAGGAGUAACUGCCAGGACCUUCUACCGCUUUCAAAGUUGUUCUAUGCCCCUAGGACUGUUCCCUAACAUCACUACAGGUUUUAAGUGAACACCUCCAAAAGGCAGAGGUUCCACGGGUUAUCUCCAGUAGGUCUGGCAGUGGGACACAUACUUGAAUCACAAGAUGGGCUGUAGAAGCAGUAAUUAGCGGGCAGCAGGACAUCUGGAAGCAAGCAGCUAGGACAAUGGCAAAAAUCUGCCCAAGGCAGAUCUAAAGAAGGGGUUGUUAAAUUAAAUGGUAUUGAUGUGGUGCAAAUGACAAACUGUACAGCAAGGGCUCAAGGAGGAAGAAAUAUUAGUGAGAAUGACAGACAACGCAGUCUAUCACAGAGUAAGGCCACCUUCCACUGUUAGAAUCUGCAGAACCAUGCCGACCCUCCAGCGUGGAUCUGUGGAGAGGUGUUUAUAUAAAGCAUUCAUACCGAACGAGUUUCCUUUAAAAUAUCUUCGCGUUUGAUGUCAUUUUUGACAGGAAUGCCUCUCUUUCCUGGCUUUCCACAAAGCUUGCUCCUUCCUCCCAUCAAGCGUUAGCUCAAGCAUCACUUCCUUAGAGAAGCCGUCCCUCUGUUAUGUUCUAU